rnacentral:misc_RNA from 1 species
AACAUUCCAUUUACUUUCUGUUACCAAUCCAUUAUAACCUUAAAACUUUUUGCUCGUCUUUGAGCAAUAAGUGUUUAGUAUGAACUUGAAUGAACCUGAAUUGGCUUCUUCAAAUGUUAGAGGUUUAAUUUGAUUGGUAACAGAAAGUAAAUGGAAUGUUACAUGAUUCAGUAUAUGGUCUGAUGGCCACCACUUCCUUUCUUGAUUGAAAACGUUCAGCAGCAAGCAAUGCAGCAGUUCCUCGGAUCACAACAGUUCUUGCGAUUUUCUCACGCAUCGACUCACUCUCUUCCUGAACUCUUCCCUACUAUCUCUCCAUUGUUUCGCAGCAUCAAUAUUGGCAGGAGACUCAUCAUUAGGACUAGAAAGCAUUGAUAUAAUGCUCAAAACAAUGCUUUCAACAGUGUGGACUGGACUCCAACGCUCAAUUGCAAGCUCAUAGCCAUUUGGGUCAUCACCAGGUGGAUGAAGAAUUGAUAUGCAAAC